AUAACUAUUAAUAGAGGCGGUUGUGUUAGGUCAACUACCUUGGUUAAUAUAAUAACAGAGACGGUUGGGUUAGGGCAACCGUCUUGGUAAAAAGAUGAUUACUGAGGCAGUUGCCUUAAUAUGCUCAUCUCGGUUAACCUAUUAAUCACGGCGGUUGCUGGGCUAGCGGAUCGGGCUCGAUUAACGGAGGCAGGCCGCCGGCCCAACCAUUUCUGAUGCCUAUUUUAAAAUGCAUCCUAAAAAAAAUUUGUAGUAGUAGUCACCGAAUACCACUCAGGUGAGUGUUCGCUAUUUAGGUUGAUCGCGUCAAAGUAGUUAGGGUAUGUACAACCCAUAGAGAAGGUCCGUAUCUAAACGCUUCAAAUUUUGUAGACAGGUAUAAAGGCAGGUCGUCCGUCUCUAAACUCAUUAAUGUUUUGCAUGUGUUUAAGAUCAACUAUAAAUAAACUUUUGUAUACCAUUAUGUGGCUAUUUGAUAAAAAAUAUAUAGAUAAAUAAGAGUAACAUGAUUACAAUAUUUUAUUUUGAAACCAUUAAUAUAAUAAUUAUAUUAUAUAUAGUUGUAAAUCCUCAUAGACCAGGUCUGCAAAAAAAAAAAAACUACACAUAUUAGUGCAUACAUGUAUGUAAAAGUUGGCAACACAUGAAAGAGGUUGUUUAACGUAUACAAGUUGAUCAAUUUACUAAGGGUAGGACAAAAUCAGUUGCAAACUAAUGAUUUACUAGCUCUGUAUAACAAAAGUAAUUCAUCUAACUAUCUAACAAAAACUAGUUCACAGUUUCAGAAAAGUUGUAGAACAUUCACACUGAACUGAAUAUUCAAUACACGCAUGUAGUUUACAGCCUCACAAGCAGGUCCUGCUCUUUAUUUUUUGGCAAAAUCAGAUGAAACAUGAGCAUCCGUCCAGCAGCACAUCCUUUUACUCCUCACGCCAAGCACCAGAGAACAAUUUCAGAGUGUAGACUCACUGCAAUAUGCUAGAUCGAAUCAUUAAUCGGCUAAUACUCAGUGAUGUACAUAACUUCUUUUCUUGAAAUAACCUAUCUAAUCGAAUCAUUAAUGCUUCUAUUGAUCAUGCAACUGC
rnacentral:lncRNA from 1 species